rnacentral:tRNA from 1 species
GGCCCAUUCGUCUAGUGGCCUAGGACUCCGCCCUCUCACGGCGGCGGCACGGGUUCGAAUCCCGUAUGGGCCU